UAUGCGUAAGACGGAUUCGUA
rnacentral:miRNA from 2 species